rnacentral:rRNA from 1 species
UACAGAGGGUGCGAGCGUUAAUCGGAAUUACUGGGCGUAAAGCGCACGUAGGUGGCGACGUAAGUCGGGUGUGAAAGCCCCGGGCUCAACCUGGGAAUUGCAUUCGAGACUGCAUUGCUGGAGUACGGAAGAGGAAGGCGGAAUUCCCGGUGUAGCGGUGAAAUGCGUAGAUAUCAGGAGGAACACCGAUGGCGAAGGCAGGUCUCUGGGCUGUAACUGACGCUGAGGAGCGAAAGCAUGGGGAGCGAACAGG